GUAGACAUUGUUGGUUAUCCAUAAAAGCAGGCGUUUGAGGCAAGUGAAAAAUAAACCACUUGUACAGAAGAGGAACACAUCACACAAUAGUCCCACCACCUUUAGAAUUCCUCAAAUGCAAAGAGAAAUACAUGUCACCCAACAGAGUUAGAACAGGAUUCCUAAUCAACAAAAUUCUAAUGGCGUUAACAUCAAUAAAAUCAUCAACAUUAGGGAACAAAGCCAAACCAUAGAUGGGUAAGACCAAUAUAGCUUCGAAAGAAUCCAUGCGACCGGUUUGAAAAAAAACAAUAGCUCUACCAAUGAGAAAAUCAGAAGUCAAU
rnacentral:lncRNA from 1 species